AAGGAAUAUUGGACAAUGGACGGGAGUCUGAUCCAGCCAUGCCGCGUGAAGGAUGAAGGCGCUCAGCGUUGUAAACUUCUUUUGGAUGGGGACAAUAAUCUCGAUUUAUCGGGACUUGAGGGUACCAUCAGAAUAAGCACCGGCUAACUCCGUGCCAGCAGCCGCGGUAAUACGGAGGGUGCAAGCGUUAUCCGGAAUCACUGGGUUUAAAGGGUGCGUAGGCGGUCAGAUAAGUCAGUCGUGAAAUUCCUCGGCUUAACCGGGUGGACUGCGAUUGAUACUGUUUGACUUGAAUGAGGUUGAGGUAGGCGGAAUGUGGCAUGUAGCGGUGAAAUGCUUAGAUAUGCCAUAGAACACCGAUUGCGAAGGCAGCUUACUGGGCCUUCAUUGACGCUGAGGCACGAAAGCGUGGGGAGCAAAC
rnacentral:rRNA from 1 species